rnacentral:snRNA from 2 species
GUUCACUUCAGCAGCAUAUACUAAAAUCAGAACGAUACAGAGAAGAUUAGCAUGACCCUGCACAAAGAUGACACGCAAAUUUGUGAAAUGUUUCAUAUUUAA